UCGCUGUGUGUUACAAGUGUCACACGGGACUGCCGGUCUUAAGCCGGAGGAAGGUGGGGAUGACGUCAAGUCAGCAUGGCCUUUAUGCCUUGGGCUACACACACGCUACAAUGGGUAACACAAUAGGUUGCGAAGCGCGAGGUGGAGCCAAUCCUGAAAGUUGCCCUCAGUUCAGAUCGUAGGCUGCAACUCGCCUGCUUGAAGACGGAGUUGCUAGUAACCGCAGUCAAGCUAUACUGCGGUGAAUACGUUCCCGGGCCUU
rnacentral:rRNA from 1 species